rnacentral:lncRNA from 1 species
GACUUAAAGUACUAAAAUUCUAAUAAAGAUAGGAAAAAGAAUCUCAAACUAAACAAAAUAAAGAAAAUAAAAUCAUAAGCUAACGAAAAUACUAAAUAAAAUAAAAUUCUUGAUGCGCCUGCAUCAGUCCCCUCGGGUUAGAAAAACUCGGCUCCGACGAGUUGGCCUUAAUACACUCCUCAUAGGUGGCGGGAUUUACUUGUUUCAAUUCCUUUUCAUUACCACCUUCAGCUCCAAAAUUUUCAACAGAUAAAUACCCAGUGAUUUUGCUGAUCUUGCUGUUUGUAGGGCUUGAAGUUGCUGAUUUCUUAAUCUCUUCUUUAAGUGGAUAUAAAGUAUACCACUUGUUAUCCUUGUAGAAGGAAUAAGUAUUUGGCUUCGUCUUGUGGUCCAUAUCGUGAUCAUACAACCACGGUCUACCAACAAGAAUAUGACCAACAUCCAUUGGCACAACAUCACAUAGGGUCUCAUCAUCCAAGUUGUCUCUCAUAGUGAAUUUCACCAAACAUUGAGUAUUUACCGGUAUUUCGUGUCCCUUUUUUAUCCAUCUAAUCUUGUAAGGAUGAGGAUGUUUGCUUGUAAGAAGCUUCAAUUUGUCUAUUGCUUCUUUUGAAAUAAUAUUUUGCACGCUUCCUCCAUCAAUAACGAGAUCACACACUUUACCUUCACAAACAUGUGUGCGAAAAAUAUUUCGCCUCCUCCAAUCUUUUUCUUCCUCAUUGAUUGUUGUAGUCAUCACUCUUUGUACCAUCAAGGACUCACCUUGUACAGGGUACACAUCAAUUUCCUUUAUUUCCUCAUCAUAUUUAUCAUAAAUGGGUUCUAAUUUUUCUUUAAAUUUUACUAAGUUUACCCUUCUUUGUGGGCAAGCAAAAGAAAUGUGAUCUUUCUCCCCACAAAUAAAACAUCGAAUAUGAGAAUUAUUGCCUCCUUUAUUUGUAGAAGAACUAGAACUGUUUUGUCUACCAUAAGGCAUUAUACUCUUGCCUUUAUCGUUCUUUUCAACAUUGGUUGCACCCCCAUUAGUUUUAUUGGUUGUGGUAGCCUCUUGAUAAUUUUGUUGGGAUGUUUGGUAACCUUGUCUUGCUCCAAAAUCGUUUUGCCAAUCGGUGCCAUAUAAAGCCUUUCUAGCACCGUAGCGUGAAACCUUUCUUUCUGCUGAUAAAGCAUAUUGACGAGCAUCUUCAAUGUUGUACAAACGAACUACUCCCAUCUCGUUUAAUAGAAUGAUUUAAACCAGCAAGAUAACGAGAAGUAAUUUGUUUGUUACUCUCAGCUAACCCAACCCGAAUUGAUAGGUUAUUGAACUCCGAUGUAUACUCCUCAACGGUCAUGUUAUUUUGCCUCUAACAAUGAAACUUUUAAUAUAAUUCCAUAGUAUAAUCAGCAGGUAAAAAUUGCUUUUGUAAUUUGCUUUUCAUGUGCUCCCAAGUGUUGAUUUUAAGCUUACCUUGUCGUGCACGUUGCUCUUCAACUCUCUUCCACCAUUGAAGUGCAGUACCUUUUAAUUUCAACUUCACAAAUAAUACUUUUCGAUUUUUUGCCAUAAGUUUUCAUUCAAAGUAAUUUUCCAAACUAGCUUCCCAAUCCAAAUAUUCCUCCGCAUGAAAUUUCCCAUGAAAAUCAAUUACGUCAAUCCUGAUUCCUCCACCGUUUAAAUCAAGAGCAUGUAAUAACUGGCCCUCCAAUCCAACUCUUGCCGCUUGAUUUGCGGGUCCAUCUUCAUGGAAGGGGUUCUCGUUCUCAAAUUCAUCAUCAUCCUCGAGAUUGUGAAUCUCAAGGGGGUUGUGGUCACCUUCCGGAUUCUCCAUUCGGGCUUCCACUGGUUCCUGACGCUGCAAGGCUUGCGCAGCCCGGGUCAAGUCAUCAAUCAUUCUCCGCAUCUCUGCCAACUCAGCUUGUUGGGGCUGAUUGCCUCUAUCUCGACCUCUGCCUCGACCUACCAUAGUCUCCUAGCGCAAAUCCUAACAGGAUAGUAAGAUCGUUUGCUUUGAUACCACUUGAUGUAGCCGGAAAAGGUUUAGGGCAAUUAGAACUCAACAAUAAGGCUAGAAUAGGACUGAUUGUGUUGGAACAAUAGAAAGAUAAUUGGGUUUUCAAAGAAACCUCUUAAAUAAAUAUUCAAAAUAAUAAAAGAUGAUAAUAAUUUUUUACGUAAGAUACCUAUUUAUAAUAGUUAAGAUAAAUCCUAAUCAAAUAGUAAUUCUAAUCCUAAAUAAAGACUUAAAGUACUAAAAUUCUAAUAAAGAUAGGAAAAAGAAUCUCAAACUAAACAAAAUACUAAACCCUAAAUCCUAAGCUAACGAAAAUACUUAAUAAAAUAAAAUUCUUGAUGCGCCUGCAUCAAUACAGCCCAUACACAAAGCUUGUCUUUUGCUUUUAGAGAAGGAAGAAAAUUUCCUUUUUCUUUUUGAGGGUUUUUUCUACUGACUCGAAGUCCAUUUCUGUUCACCAACUUAUUUUCUGAUUCCUGAACGUCAGAAAAUGCAGAAACGAACUUCUGAAAGUCAACUUCCAGUGAAACAAACAGAGCCAUUACUUUGAAGUUCAGCUUGGGUUUUCACCAUCCUAAAAAAAAUGGAGUUUGGGAUGUAUUUUAUAUGUCCAAAAAUUUGACUUCCAUUUGGUCUCUACCUUAAUCCACGUGUUGGAAAGUUUGGGGGUGAAGAAAUUAGCGUGAAUGGGUGGAAAGAUGACUAGAGUGAGGUUGAGCAGUAAAAAAAUAUUAGUUUACCUUUUUCUCAAAGUGGAGAGAAUAGAAGGGUAAGUUGUAAGUUUAUGGGCUACAACUACUAUAAUCCAUCUUGACAUUAUUAUUAAAAUACAGUUUAAUGAUUUAAAGGGAAUGACAAGAAGAAAAUAUUAAAGUGGAAUACUUUCAAAUCCUUUUGAUUUUGGGGGACUCUAAAAAGUGACAUUUUGAGGGGUUUAAUUUUACUGUCAAACCAUAUUCCCUCCCUUUUAAGGAAAAUUUCCAAAUAGGAUAAGGGUUUAAAUUUUACUCCCUUUCACUUUUAUCCUUUAUUUUGCCUAUAUAUGAAAACAUUGCAAUAACAUUGAGUUAAUGCUAGUUUGGAAACUUUUGUUUCAUUGGUCAAAUAUAACAUUAAUGGAAAAUCCCAUGGUGGAAUUACAUGUGCCACUAUUUCAUUUGGCAAAUAUAAAAUAAACUAAUGUAAAAGAAUCUAUCUUGAUUGGCCAUAUUUUGGAAUAACAGCUUUAAAAUAAAUUUAAAUUUACUUUUUAUUUAACACAAUCUGAAAGCCAGCAACUUAGCGCAAUCAAUCGUGCUGCAAAUUCUCAGACGAG